CCCUCCACAGAGCGCCCGUCAUUCGUCGGCACCACCUACGAUUGCCGUGCCUAGCCCAGUGCAGCAGGUCUCUGGCACCAGUGCUCCAGCACCGACUGCGAUGGGACCGCCCAGACAUGCCCAUAUGGGGAAGCCGGAUUCUGUGGAGAGGUAAAGACAAUAUCACAUCUGUACGGCACCAUCCAUGACACUGCCAUUGUCUGCCUCUGACUACUCUUCUGAGUCGGAGCCUGAGUCGAUGCACUCCUUUGCUUCAUCUAGAACUUCUUCUUGGCACCGUCCCAGACCAUCCAAGUUCCAGCAGACUUGGCCCCCACAGGCCCGGACACUUUGGGCCUAUCACCAGUGGCAGAGGCCCAUGCCACCGUCACGGGGAUCUAGUGUCUCGCACCAAAGAAGCACUCUAUCGGCCUCUGUGUCGGGACCCCCUGAUGUGACUAGAGUGGACAGCCCUCAGACAGAAGCUGGCAGUGGAGGAAGUCCCCGCAGUGAACCCAUCUCCCCCGACAUGGAGCCCCCUCAAGCCACCCAGUCUCCUGAGGUGUUGGACGACCCUGCAUCCACUUGGGAGUCCUCUUUGUUCUCUCCAGACGAAGCCCUGGCAGACCCGGCACCAUCAAUGCCAUCUGGAUGCACGGGCACACCGGGAAUUGCGCUGCAGGUUGGUGGCGAAUUUGAGGGUACAAGCAAAGCCAAUGACAGAGGACACUGACCCCAUGAUGGACAUCCUCAAUGUGGAUGCCCAGGCUAAGCUGGCUUUGUAUUUGAAUAAAACUGUGGCUAAGAUCACAAAUACCUUGAGGCAGACCCCGGCCUCUAUUACACCCACUCAGAAAGGGCUCAAAAACAAGUAUUUUGUUCCCCUGUCGGGGAAUGAGCACCUGUAUUCCUACCCUGUCUCAGGUUCCCUGGUGGUGCAGUCGGCUACUCAAAAGGAGAGAUAGGGGCUGAUGGGGCCUAGGCCAAAAUCCAGGGAGCCCAAGCGCCUUGACCUUAUGGGACAUAAGGUCUAUACCACAGGGGGUGACUAGUUGUGCAUUGCUAAUCAGCAGAUGAUGUUGGGCUGCUACGCCUAGGGAUUGUGGCAGAUGAUGGACAAUUUCCGGGACAGGUUGCCCCCGGACUCCAGGCAGGAGUUUUUUGGCUAUGGCCACGGAAGGGAGAAUAAUAGCUCAAACAGCCCUACAGGCAGCACUGGACGCUGUGGACUCUGCUGCCUGUACCAUGGCCUCCGGUGUGGUCAUGCGCAGGAGCGUGUGGCUACAGGUUUCAGGGAUUCCUCUGGAUGUGCCGAAUACCAUCCAAGAUCUGCCAUUCAACGGGAAAUCCUUGUUCUCUGAGCAUACUGACUUGAGGCUUCAUAGCCUUAAGGACACUUAAGAGUCAAGUUCAGAGAGGAAGUUCUCGGUUAUGUUGACUUCACCCUACACCUACUUGAUCUUCUGUGUCUCAUCCUAAAGAGCAGAAAGUCAAUAUUGGUUCCAACUCAAAGAAUCAAGUUCAUUGGGAGACUGAAAGACUCUGAGUUGACGUAUAUUUCCUCCAACUGAGUGAUUCCUGGAGCUGCAGUCUGAACCCUCACCUAUAGCCUGAAUAUGUCUGCAGUUGCUAGGCUAUAUGUGUAUGCACAUAGGUAGCCCAAUAUGCAAGUAUAUGCCAAUAUACUCUUCAGAAGUGUCUGAAGUUGCUUACUUACCUAUAAUUGUUUUUCUUAGAAAUGUGAUGCAGGUUGUAUUACAUAAAUCCCCCUCCAUGUUUUCUGCAUCAGAGUCUGUUCUUCUGACGUGUGAAAGAAUUGAGGAGGUGGGGUGAUACCACACUUAUAUGGCCAGGGUAGGGGCUGGGGCAGGGGACAUGAGCGUGACGAUUAAGAAUACUGCUUGGAAAGUUUUCCAGCUUCGAUGUGCUGGUUGUAUGCCCCUACGCCUAAGUAGAAUACAUGUUUGCAUCACAUUUAGAAUGAUGAGUUACAAGUAAGUGACACUUUGUUCAGGUCUCAGGCCCCAAGAUCUUGCCAGCCACACCCCUGGUUUCCACCAUUUUGGUUGUACCUGACAAGAUGGUCCCAACACACUUCUCGUCCCAAAUUUGCCCAAAACCAUCUGCCAUGAAGUCUGCAGUACUCUCCUGGACUACUCAGAGAAAUGUUUGUUUGCUCAUUUUAAAGAGACAAUACCCAGCUCUCCACCAGUUUAACUGGAAUGAAUAAUUAUUUCAGUACUAACACAGCACUGGAUUGAUUUAGAUGAAAAAUAAAACAAGUUUAUUAACAGAAUAUAAGUUAAGUGAUGUCAAGUAGAAGAAAUAAAGGUAAAGAUAGUAGCUAUUGAAGAGAUGCAUCUAAAAGUAUAUUACCUAAUUUAGCAAGAUACAGUCUUUAGGAUGGUUUCUUUUGCCAAUUAUUCUUUGGAUAGAAUGUCUCUCAGGACCUUCUACAAAAAUACAAGGUGGUAGCUUCACUCGUAUUAACAUAUAAAAGGUAAUGAUGGAGUUUCUCUGUCAUUGAUAUUCCCUCAAUAUUGGCUUUAUUCUCAAAGUUAGGAAGGCCACCUGGAGAUUCAUUCUCCUGUGUCUCUCUGUAAUGCAGGGACCAUGUUAUUUCUGUCAAAUUCUGGCUCAAGACAACCUCUGGAGGUGUAGCGUGAUAACUUAGUUUACAUCUCAUUUGUAAAUUGAAUUAAAAUUACAAUCUUUUGUCUAGGACAGACCUGUUUAUCACUUUUACCUAGCAUAGGCUGCAUUGUCUUAAAUAUGUUAUAGUAACAAUUUAUACAGGGAAUUCAUGAUAAGGUGUAUUUUAUCCAAACUUUUCAGUAGCAUCUAAUGUGAAUACAGGGAUGCCUAGGGUCAUGUCUGUUUUGUAUCUCGCUUUUCAUAACAUCAGAUCUGGUCUUCUACAAGAUAUUUUAAUUUUAACAAAUAAGCAGUUGUUUUUAAUCUUGACACUAGCAGAUUGACAUCACCCAUAACUUGAAGGGUGUAUAUGUACAGGUAUGUAAUGUUCAGAAUCAUGGAAAGAAGAGUGUGUGUGUGUGGGGGGGGGGGAACCAAACAAUGUAGUCACCUGAUUUCUCACUUGACGAGUGCAAGAGUAUGCCCUGAAAAGCCUGGUGCCUGUUUGUGGUCACAGUUACACUGAUAUAAAUUAGAACUAACUCAACUAAAGCCAAACUGGUGUGAGUUUAAGUGCAUUAUCCUAGUGACUGUUUAUCCUGUUUUUAAAAUCUGUGGAAUGGACUUAGUUGUUUCAGGUAAUUAAGAAUGCUUGAUUCUUAGAUUACUAUAUAUAUUCUUCUGCUUAACUCCAUCUUGAACAGAAAAAUCAUCUUAUAAUGACUAGUAUAGCAUAAUAUAGUAUAAAAUUUUAUAAAAUGUAUGCUCAUGGUGACAGUUGUGGUUGAACAUUCAACCAUAAUUGCAUUUUUGUACUUAAUUAUGACUAGCUAUAUAAUCUUAAUGUUACAUUCUCGUGGACUUUUAACUUUUUUUUUUGACUGGGAAUGUACUUUAUUGUAAAUACAUUACAGGGUCAUAUUAUGUUUGUUGGGGUUGGGUCGUCCCGGCGCCGCAUUUUGGAGUUUUCCCCAGCAGUAGUUGGCUGGACUGCGCUUGUGCCUCAUGCUAUUCAUGCCUUUCUCUUUGCUCAUGUGGUCUGGCUCCUACCAGUUACUUCAUUGCCACCCUCGGUUGCAGGAGUUCCUCUCCUUGGAGAAUCUAGUGAGAGAAAAUAAUUUGAUAGUUAGUUUAGUAGUUUAGCCUGUUAGAGUUAGUUUAUAGUUGAUAGUUAGAUUGUUCAAGUAGUUUCCUUUUUUUCUAGUUGACAUUUAAAAAACACAAAACAAACGCAACUGGUGACUGCUAUGAAGGCUUCAGCUUAAAAAAAAAAAAAAAAAAAAAAA